GACGAACGCUGGCGGCGUGCUUAACACAUGCAAGUCGAACGGAAAGGCCCUGCUUUUGUGGGGUUCUCGAGUGGCGAACGGGUGAGUAACACGUGAGUAACCUGCCCUUGACUUUGGGAUAACUUCAGGAAACUGGGGCUAAUACCGGAUAGGAGCUCCUGCUGCAUGGUGGGGGUUGGAAAGUUUCGGCGGGUGGGGAUGGACUCGCGGCUUAUCAGCUUGUUGGUGGGGUAGUGGCUUACCAAGGCUUUGACGGGUAGCCGGCCUGAGAGGGUGACCGGCCACAUGGGGACUGAGAUACGGCCCAGACUCCUACGGGAGGCAGCAGUGGGGAAUAUUGCACAAUGGGCGGAAGCCUGAUGCAGCAACGCCGCGUGCGGGAUGACGGCCUUCGGGUUGUAAACCGCUUUCGCCUGUGACGAAGCGUGAGUGACGGUAAUGGGUAAAGAAGCACCGGCUAACUACGUG
rnacentral:rRNA from 1 species